UAUGUGAUCGUCUCUCGCAUAUCAAUAAGCGGAGGAAAAGAAACUAACAAGGAUUCCCCUAGUAACGGCGAGUGAAGCGGGAAGAGCUCAAAUUUGAAAUCUUAAAGGGUUUCCCUUUACGAAUUGUAGUUUAAAGAAGUGUUUUCUGUUGAGGUUUUGGUAAAAGUUCUUUGGAAUAGGACAUCAUAGAGGGUGAGAAUCCCGUAUUUGACCUUUACUUUCAACUUUGUGAUACACUUUCAAAGAGUCGGAUUGUUUGGGAAUGCAGUCCAAAAUGGGUGGUAAAUUUCAUCUAAAGCUAAAUAUUGGCGAGAGACCGAUAGCGAACAAGUACCGUGAGGGAAAGAUGAAAAGAACUUUGAAAAGAGAGUUAAACAGUACGUGAAAUUGUCAAAAGGGAAGCGUUUGACACCAGUGUUGUUUUUCUGAAAAUCAAUUAAAGAACUGUUUAUGCUAAGUUGUUUAGACUUUAUCAGCUAUCUGCUUAGUUUUGAGCUUUUCUUUAAUGCACUUUUCAGUUAACAAGUCAACAUCAAUUUCUUUUGCUGUAAAAAAGCUUGAGGAAGGUGGCUUGAGAUUCGUCUUAAGUGUUUAUAGCCUCUUGCCUAUGCAGUCGGAGAGAUUGAGGUCUGCAGCGUAGAUCCUUCGGGGCUAAAUGCAUUUGUGCUAAGUUAUAACAUUUUAUAGACAACUUGUUGACUAUGAUUUGUCUUGUAGCUUACUCGCUUAUGUUAUUUUACCUACGCUUAGGAUGUUGAAGUCAUCGUAUCGCGC
rnacentral:rRNA from 1 species